rnacentral:tRNA from 1 species
GGGUUGUUAGCUCAGUUGGUAGAGCAUCGGACUCUUAAUCCGCUGGUCGCGCGUUCGAAUCGCGCACAACCCACCA